UGCACCCAUGCAUGCUUAUCAACAAAUCAGGUGGGCAUUGCCUAAUUUUUUUACUUCUCUCUUUGUUCGACCGAAGCAAAGAGCUCGGUGGAGGUAGCCGCGAGCACGAGUUCGAUGCCGACGACGCGUCGCGAAGCCGUUCGAGGGUACGGUUGGGAUCGUAGUGCUGCGAGGAAGCUAGGCGAGGGUGAGUUUUCGCCUUUCUCGACGCCGCGUCGAUGUCCGAUUAGCCUUUGAGCGUCGACCGUCGGUAUUUCAGUUCGUACUCGGCGUAGGAGCGUCGGUUUUCGAUGGGACUUGGUUUGUUGGAUUCGGGACUUCGAGAGGAAUCCAUGAAGCCCUUACUUGCUAGAUUUGAGUUUGGCGGGAGCUUGACUUCGGGCCGUGGGAGGUUUUCAGACAUUUCGGCAGGUUGUUCUGCAGCCGAGGGGAGUUCCGUACUGCCAGGGAUUAGCAAGCGAGACUUAGUGGGUGGACCGAUGUUGUUGAGGGCGGCACCCAC